rnacentral:rRNA from 1 species
ACGGAAGGCAGCAGUAGGGAAUAUUGCACAAUGGGGGAAACCCUGAUGCAGCAACGCCACGUGUGGGAAGAAGCAUUUCGGUGUGUAAACCACUGUCGUGAGGGAAUAAUGCUAUUUUUCGGAAUAGUUGAAUGUACCUCGAAAGGAAGCACCGGCAAACUACGUGCCAGCAGCCGCGGUAAUACGUAGGGGGCAAGCGUUAUCCGGAUUUACUGGGUGUAAAGGGAGCGCAGGCGGUAACGCAAGCCAGAGGUGAAAACCCGGGGCUCAACCCCGAGGAUUGCCUUUGGAACUGUGGAACUGGAGUGCUGGAGGGGCAGGCGGAAUUCCUGGUGUAGCGGUGAAAUGCGUAGAUAUCAGGAGGAACACCGGUGGCGAAGGCGGCCUGCUGGACAGUAACUGACGCUGAGGCUCGAAAGCGUGGGGAGCAAACAGGAUUAGAUACCCUGGUA